AAUGGGCGCAAGCCUGAUCCAGCCAUGCCGCGUGAGUGAAGAAGGCCUUCGGGUUGUAAAGCUCUUUCGGCCGGAACGAAAUCGACCGGGUUAACACCUCGGUUGGAUGACGGUACCGGAAGAAGAAGCACCGGCUAACUACGUGCCAGCAGCCGCGGUAAUACGUAGGGUGCAGGCGUUAAUCGGAAUUACUGGGCGUAAAGCGUGCGCAGGCGGCUUCCUAAGUCAGAUGUGAAAUCCCCGGGCUUAACCUGGGAACUGCGUUUGAAACUGGGAGGCUAGAGUGCGGCAGAGGGAGGUGGAAUUCCACGUGUAGCAGUGAAAUGCGUAGAUAUGUGGAGGAACACCGAUGGCGAAGGCAGCCUCCUGGGCCAGCACUGACGCUCAUGCACGAAAGCGUGGGGAGCAAA
rnacentral:rRNA from 1 species